GUGUUGGCUUGGGCAGCACACUUGCUAAAAUUGGAACAAUUACGGAGAUGAUUAGCAUGGCCCCUGUGCAAGGGUGGCAUGCAAAUUUGUGAAGUGUUCCAUAUUUUU
rnacentral:snRNA from 1 species